UCUGCCUGUGUUCUGCCACCUUCUCUGCUCGGCGAUCAGCAUUUGGCUUUUUCCAUUUGUGGCAGAUUACUGUAACGCUAUUGUACAACAACUUCCUGCCUCUUUUGGCACAGGUUCUAAAAAAAUCUGCAAAAGCAGAGCUCGUGGCUUCAAACUUUUUCCCCCCUCGGCCUUGAACUGCAGGAGCUUUAUAAGAAAAGAAAAGGAGGAAGGAGAUAUGUAAAGUGUGUCUGUUACUGAGGAACUACUUUCAUAAACUGCUGAGAAUUAAAGAGGGGACUUCAUGCCUAGCAGAGACAAUGAAGGAAAAAAGGAAUCGAACAGAGGAAGAAGAGGAGGAAAGAGACACAGAGGGAAAAGGAGCAAAGGAGACUUUCUUGUGGGAACAAGCUGGAAAUGAUCGACCAAUUCGAUAUGAGACCUUGGAGUGUACGACCUAUCCGAAGAGGGACGCGCCCUAACUGUAACUAACAACCACUUCUGGCAGCCCUUCAACAGCCAAACAUAUUGUCCUGGAUCAGAUCAGAGAACCAGGGCAGCUUCGGCAAGAAAUCCACAUUCAACUUCUACCAAUGGUGGAAUUUAAAUGUAGUCAACUAAUGGGUUUUCAAUUAGAUUUUGAUUAAGCUUUAAACUAUUAUCAGGAUUUUGCUUAUCAAAUGUAAAAAGACUACAUAAACACACAUUCAACCAAUAUGUCCACACUUUGAGGCAUCUGAGACAACAAGUUUUUUUUUUAAAUGACUACUAAAUAUCAUCUUUUGUAUUAUUUUGUAUAAUAUACAUGUUACCCAUGUUCUCGUCAUAUGACGUCACAAGUUAAAUGAACCCCUCUUACUACAUGUUACUCAUUUCACAUUGCUGUCAUAAUUCAAACAUUUGUAUUUUUUUGAAAUACAUUUUCAUUUAACCCUUUCUGACAAAAUGAAUAAGUAAGCAAAGCCACUUUUACAUUUACAUGUGACUCACUAUAAUAAAGAAUUAUUUGAAACUAAAAUAACAUUUCUUCACAUUAAUCAAAGGGCUCAUUUAAAAUAGAGAUGGAGAGAUAUUUGAACUUAUUGAAAAUACUGUAUAAUUAAAGUAAUAAUGAAAAUCAAAUUGACUGCAAACACUAAUCAAAGACAUUACGUGCUGCAGGGACAAAUUCUCAAAGUCAUUGACACGCUAUUGUAAAAAAGCUAAUUCUCUAUUUCUGUCCUCUUCAAUUGCCUUUGCUUCUACAUACCUGAACUCUCCCUUUGCAGUUUGACCCUGAGAGCAGCUACAUCUACUGUAAACCGCCUUGGCCAUUUUGUUUUAUUCUUCCUCAACACUAAACCAGGAGUGCACAGGCCUGGCAUUUUAGGUGCCACGUCACAACGCCCGUGUCUGCACUGCAGGGCUGCAAGGAGUCCAGCAGCCACGGCACUCAGCAGCGCACUGCCUCAACAAACACUGUGUGUACCUCUUGUUGUUUUUAAGAUAGUCCCUAGCAUCCCUGCUUCUACUGACAACAGCUAAACAUACACCGAAAGCUUUAGAAACGUCAUAAACAUGCUGUCAUCCAGCACAGAGCCACUGAGCCUUCAGCCCUGCAUCACUUUGCAGAAAUGACCUCAGUAAAGUUAGCUCACACACAAUAGAUAUGAUACUCAUCCAAUUGAGCAAUGCUUUUUUUAAUGAGGUUAGUAAACGCUUCUAAAUAAUGCCCAAUAAUGUAUUGUGUGUGAUCUUGGAUACAAACACUGAUUAUGUCAAUUCCACUGGGCGGAUUAACUGUCAUUGAGGUGCAUUUGUCAUGUUGCAUAAAGAUAUUUAUAUAAUGAUUUUUGUUAUGAUUAUUUAUUUAUAUUAAUUGUGUUUAUUUAAAGCAAAAAUAUGAUGUGUAUUAAACUGUCAUUGGAUCACAUUUA